rnacentral:lncRNA from 1 species
GCAUUUUGAUGAUGGGUCGUCCUACAGUAGGCAAAGAGAUAACCCACAACUUGGACGUUGAUGCCACAUCUGAGUCGUUGUACUAGCGCCAUCCUCUGCUCGCUGUAUGCAUCUAGUCAUUUCCUUUCAGCAGAACCAGGAGUGGGAUUGUAAAUUCUCUGGCCAGUCUGAUCUUCAUCCUUCGAAAUGUUGACACUAAGCUCUCUGUACUGAUCUGCUUUCCCACCAAUGGCGCCCAAGUUCUACCCGCCUCUCACCAGUCAACAUUUACUACUUAAAAAAAAUAAUAGCAGUUUUGAAUGGGAUGAGAUUAUCAAGUAAAGGAAAUCAGAGGCAUACAAAUAGGAAGAGAAGGAAUUCAAUCACCUGUUAUGAAAUGACAUGAUGUAUAGACUUAAAAAAUCAGAACUCUACAAACUCCACCAAAAGACCCAGGUAAAGGAAUUCAGUGAAACUGGAGGAUAUAAAAAUCCUUCAUAAUCCAACAUAAAAGCCAGCCGUAUUUUAUACACUGAUAAUGAACUUCCUCGGAAGAUAUGAGAGGCAUUCUAUCUAUUCACAACUGCAGCAAAAGUAAGGUUAAAGAAGACAAGAUAAAUGCCCCGGGAUGAGCCAGGAGUGGCAGUGCAAAUCCCUAGUGCCUGCUACCUGGGAUGCCGAGAGGACAAGAUGGUGCAACCAUUCAGGGCCAGCAACACACGAAGCCCCAGAGGCUAGAAACAAAUUCAACCGAAGAAAUAACAUCAAGUCCUGAAGUGAAAAUUACAAACCACCGAUAACAGAAACCAAAGACG